rnacentral:misc_RNA from 1 species
GGGGAUAGGCUUAAAAACCAAAAAUGACUUGCCAGUUGAAAAUGUUCACCCAGGUGACAAACUAGGGAUAGCAAAUCCUAUGAAGAUUCACGGUACCAGGAUUUGCUUUUAUCCACCUUUGUUCUUUCUUUUAUAUCCCAGAAAUGAUGUUAGCGAAGAUUCAAGCUGCUCCAUAUUACCAAGAGUGAGAUUGCAACGUGUACCAUACUUGUUUAUCUCCUUAAUCAAGAAAAAUCUGAUGC